rnacentral:misc_RNA from 1 species
GUAGCCUCUCAGCCUCGGCAGCUGCCUUUAGUAUGUGUCAUAUAGCGCUCGGUGUGACUGAGCAAGUCGAGCCGAGGUUGUAGAAGGAAAUGGACGAUAGUGGGUGUGUAAUGCUUAUAUUUAUGCGGUGAGUUGUAUGUAUCUCGAUGAUCAGUCGAAAGACAAGUCGAUUAGCAUCAUAUGAAUGAUGAGAUCCUAUCGGUAUUUCCAUGGUGCGUGAAUCUUAUGCUCGUCCACCCCGUUCUACGCCCCCGUUUUUUCUCCCCCUCGUCAUAUGUGUUUCGUGCGAGGUCCAUAAAAAGGAAGAGAUCCCGCUCUGCGAAAUCGAAUCUCGAGAACGAAAGAAAGAGAACACAGUCUUGUAAUACCAUCGCACAAUUAUACGCAGCGUGACGCAGCCUUUCGUACAUGUAAUGAAGAACUGAUGAAUUAUCACAAAACUGAAAGCGAAAGACGAUGGAUUCAGCCAAUAAGAAGCAGGCGGUCAACUCACCGGAAAUGGCGUUGGCCAGCGAGGUGUUCGAUCAGUUUUGCAAUGCCACUACAUUGAAGUCUAUCCUCGGCUAUUAUAGACAAUUGUGUGAAUUGCUAAAAGUUCGACCGAAUGUCAUUAAUCAGUUUUAUCCAAAAUUGAAGGCGAAGCUACGAUCAUGGAAGGCACAAGCGCUAUGGAAGAAGUUUGAUCAACGAGCCAAUCACAAAUGUUAUAAUCGUGGUAAAGCAUGUCCGAAUACAAGGGUUUUGAUUAUCGGCGGAGGCCCAUGUGGUUUGCGAACAGCUAUAGAGGCACAGUUGUUAGGAGCCAAAGUCGUGGUGAUAGAGAAAAGGGACCGGAUGUCUAGGAACAAUGUUUUGCAUUUGUGGCCAUUUGUUAUCCAGGACCUACGAGGUUUAGGAGCGAAAAAAUUCUUUGGAAAAUUUUGCGCAGGUUCCAUCGAUCAUAUUAGCAUUCGGCAAUUGCAAUGUAUUUUACUUAAGGUUGCUCUAAUUCUCGGCAUUGAAUUCCAUGAAAGUGUUAGUUUCGAUUCUUUGAUUCAACCACCGGACAAUCAAGAAGAUGGCAAGAUUGGUUGGAGAGCAAAAACAUUACCAGUGGAUCAUCCAGUCUCUCAAUACGAGUUUGAUGUGUUAAUCGGAGCUGAUGGUAAAAGAAAUACAUUGGAAGGUUUUAAACGAAAAGAAUUUCGAGGAAAAUUAGCCAUUGCAAUAACUGCGAAUUUCAUAAAUAAACGAACCGAAGCAGAGGCGCGAGUUGAAGAGAUUAGUGGUGUUGCCUUCAUCUUUAAUCAAAAAUUUUUUAAGGAAUUGUAUCAAGAAACGGGAAUUGAUUUGGAAAACAUCGUAUAUUAUAAAGAUGACACGCAUUAUUUCGUUAUGACUGCUAAGAAACAUAGUUUAAUCGACAAAGGAGUUAUUCUACAGGAUCAUGCUGACACUGCAAAACUUCUCGCAAAAGAAAACGUAGAUCGUGAAGCGUUAAUGUUGUAUGCGCGAGAAGCGGCGGAAUUCUCGACGGAAUAUCAAAUGAUGAACAUGGAAUUUGCGGUGAAUCAUUAUGGCAAACCGGACGUAGCCAUGUUCGAUUUCACUUCAAUGUACGCGGCAGAAAAUGCAAGUCGCAUAUUAAACCGUCAUGGACAUGGACUACUUAUGAUCCUUGUAGGCGAUAGUCUUUUAGAGCCAUUUUGGCCUACUGGUUCUGGUUGCGCGAGAGGAUUCUUGAGUUCUCUGGAUGCUGGUUGGGCAAUCAAGGGUUGGGGCGCUUCGUUUUCACCAUUGGAAGUAAUCGCCGAGCGCGAAUCAAUAUACAGGUUGUUGGGACAGACGACGCCGGAAAAUUUAAAUAGGGAUUACGCUGCAUAUACUCUCGAUCCUCAUACUAGGUAUCCAAAUCUUAAUGUACAUUCUGUGCUCCCGAUACAAGUGCGCAGUCUUCUUGAUACAGAUGAUCCUGAAAGUAUCAAACAAUCUACAGUACAGCCUGAGAUCGAUGCUCCAAAGAAACGAAGACGUCGCGAUCUGAGAGUAGAGACUCAAAUUCAUCCAGAUACAUUGCUCCGUUGGCUGCAAAAACAAGUUGCAUUGUAUGAUAAAGUUCACAUUGAAGAUAUGGGUAUCUCCUUCAAAGAUGGUUUAGCUAUUUGUGCAAUCAUUCAUAGAUACCGUCCAGAUCUAAUAAAUUUUUAUAGCUUAAACACGGAAGAUGUAGUGAAGAACAAUCAAGUCGCCUUCGAUAUAUUGGAAAAGGAAUUGAAUAUACCGCCGAUAAUGACAGGAGAAGAAAUGGCUCAGUGUGAUGUUCCUGACACACUUACCAUGUUUUCUUACUUAACACAAAUAUACGAAGCUUUCAAAGGAGAUAUUCCAUAUAUCAAGCAUCCAAAAUUAGAACCAGAAAUUGAGGAAUGCAGUACACAUCCAAAACAACUGAAACAAUUGACACCUGAGGAAAAGUCUACGAAAAGGCACUCGCGCUCGCGGUACUCUAAUGAAAAUGUACAAUCUUACAUGGAUAAGAAAGACAAUACAACUAGUCGGCGUUCUCGGAAGAGACGUAGCACCGAAAAAAUGAGUGCGACAAUGGAUGAGAGACAGAAAAGACUCGAUGAGAUCGAAAAGCAUCGAAUCGAACGCAUGAAGAGGCGGCAAUAUUUGCGCAAGAUGGCAACGCAACAAUUCUACAAAAGUAUGCAAAUGCUACAAGCCAAUGCAAAACACGAGAAAGACGGGCCAUUUGAGGAUUAUUCGAUUUUCUUAUACCGUCAAACUGCACCAGAUUUUAAGGACAGAGUAAAAGAUCUAGAACAGAAAAUACUCUACCCAGACAGACAACCUAAGAUACACAUCGGUUACGAAAGAGGUAAUGUGGACGAAGAAUUUUCGGGCAAAAUAAAAGAUUUUGAAGACAAAUUAAAAGGGACAACAUCCUCCGAGAAAAAACCCAGAGAUCUUUUACGCGCCAUCGGUAAGAUCGAAAAGACGGACUGGAACGUAAAAGAAAUCGAAAAAAAAAUCGAAGAGAACAAGAUGGGCCGCGGCAUUCGUCAUGAUCGUGUAGAGAGAGUACCGAAGUGGAGUCGCGAGCAGAUGUGUAUAUGUUUCAUUCAGUUUUUAGCUCGGCAGAUCAAGAUGGAGAAGCGGGGCAACGAUCAAAGGGACACCUACAGUAAGUACGCUGACAUAGACAAUACCCUGAAGAAUAUAGGCAAGAAGAUCCGAGAGGGUAGCGCGCUCGGACACAAUAAAGUUUCAGCCAUGGCUGAGCAAUUUUCGAAUAAAAAUCAGGAUACGGAACCCAAACUACAGAAAUCGAAUACUAAAUCCACCAUCGUGCUACCAGUGCAAGGAAGUUCGGAGAUGUGCCACUUUUGCAAUAAAAGGGUUUAUUUAAUGGAAAGACUUAGUGCGGAAGGCAAAUUCUUUCAUCGUGGUUGUUUUCGAUGCGAAUAUUGCUCUACCUCAUUAAGAAUAGGAAAUCAUACGUUUGAUCGAGAAAAAAAUGGAGGCCGUUUUUAUUGUACUCAACACUUUGGAUUAUCUGGAACGAUGAAGACUAGAGCAGAAAAGAAGAGAAUCAAUUUAGUGAAUAAGGAAAAUGUACCUAAUGCUGGAAUUACUUUGAAAACACCAGAAAAGGCUAAAAUACCAUUGGAAGGCAUUGUUGGACUCGACCUCCUCGAUCGUGGUCAAACUCCAGAGAGAAUUGAAUUUGAAAAUCUAGCAGAAAUGUCAGAUCCUGAGGAAGCUCAUAGUCAAAUGGAUGAGGAUGAAUGGACAGACAGAAAUUUUGGUGUUUCUACUGCAGAAAUGGGAUCUAGUGAUGAUAUUUCUGAUAUGAGUGAUUCUGAUGAAGAUGAUGAAAUAUUUGAGGAAGCUAUAGAUCAGCCACUAACAACUGAAGGAACUCUCGAGUUAGCUAAGAAUUGGACAUUGCGCUAUUCUCAUCCAUAUACUACAAUCGGCCAGUCGGAUACUGGCAGCAACGAAUAUGAAGAUUCUAGUGACGAAUACACUAGCGAAGAUGAUGAAAGUGGAACUGCGACCGAAGACGAAGAGGACAUACGCGCUCGAGAACUCCGAAAGCAAGAGGUAUGGCUGAAGGUACCACCACGCAGCUCCGAUACUGAUACUGGCUCUGAAACAGAGGUUGCUUCUUCGGAGGACGCAUCGACUGAAGAAAGCGCAGAAAAUUCUGCAACAGAGAUCUCGACUGAUUCAGAAUUCGAACACGAUGAGGCAACUCCGACACAGCACGAGAUUCCUGAGAUCACUAUCAAUGAUUCGUACGUGCGGAAAACAAGAGGUACUUACGUCGAGCCGAAGAAAGUGCAGAUCAAGAGCAAGAUGAUCUCUUCGAUCAAUAGCAACCUAAAGCAGGACAAGAAGCAACAAGAUAUCAGCAACGAGCAGCUCAUGAAGGACAAUCAAGUUAAAUACGAGCCGAGUAAGGAGGUGAACUGCAACGUGUCGACUGCUGUCGACACGAAUAUCCGAACACCAUUGCUGAACCCACGAAAGGGGGAUUAUCUUUUGAAUCGCACUCAUUCCACCGGAGGAAUCGCCUCGAGACUCUCUUUAGAGUUGAAAAAACGUUAUUUACUGGGUGGAUCGGUUUUGAGUGGUUCCGUUGUAAAAUCAGGCUCGACGUCGAAUGUGGAUACGAAGCUGAGAAACUUCACUGAUGCGAUCUCCCAGCAUCAAAAGCUGUUAAAUCCGGCGCCGGAACCCAGUCCUACCAUGCAAGCAUUUCUCCAAGGUACUAGUAAGCUGCGAGCCAACAAUGCGCCGCUUUCUCCAUUAUCACCGACAAUUUUAUUUUCACGACAAUUUUCAACUGAUCGCUGCCGAAAUUUAUCAAACGAUAUUGCAUACAAGCCGACAACUCCGACAGAAAAUCCGUCCAAAGCACAGCAAUUACCUGAUUUAGUGAAGGAAUCCAGUAUUUUAAAAUCAAAGACAGCACCCAACAUCUGCGGGGAGUCUUCGAUAAAGGACAAAGAGUUAAUCGAUAAAUCAGGCUUUCUACAUCAAACUAAUAAUUCGACCAAGGAUUCCGUAGAAGACAUGAAAAAUUCGCAGAAUACAGAGAAAUUAUUUCUAAGCAGCACAGAAGAAAGUAAUGGUUUCCGGCCACGUAGUCCCCUUCACGAGACGUCCAUUGUUGUCCCACAAGUAGAUUGGAACAAGAAGAAGAACGAGGCUAAAGAUGCCAGCUCAGGCGAUUCUGAGAUAGACAGCGAUUCUUUAUCCUCUUCUGAUUCCAACGAGGCGGUUGAGAACGACGAAUUUGUCGCUAUAAAUCUCUCGCCACCCAGAUUACAGAUUCACAGUACUGAUGGUGAUCUUCUGCUGGACGAGAGAGUCGAUCGAUACAAAUCGAUCGAUUACGAUCCCGACGAUGGUCAGACCUUCGAGCCGGAUUCCAUCGAGGUCUCCUUCCUCCAGGAUCGCCGAUUAAUCGAUUCAUCGAAUAUCGACUCGUCCAUAGACAAUGCACGCCCCAUUGAGAUCCUAAACAAUAAUAUGGAACAAUUGGACCUGCGGGACAGUAAAAAGGACUGCAGCAGCUCCUCCGAAGUUUCGGCGAUGUCCAACAAGCAGGAUGAUUCCGAAGAGAACGAUAUUACCACCGCGGCAUUUACCGAGACAGAAUUCUCGGAAUGGGCUCGAGAUGGGGAAGCUUUGGUCUCUGACGAUCUUCGCGACGUGGAACUCGACAUUGAUCCUAAUUUUAUCACCAUACGAAGAAAUAACGCAAGGUUGACUUCCACGCCUGUGAAAAUCUCAAAAGAGGAGGACACAGAACUCAAAUACCCGAACAAUAGUACAUCGAAGUUAUUGGUGAACGGCGAGGAUAUUAAUUACAUGGACACGGACAACGAAUCACUGCUGGAUGACAGUCUCCAGGACGCUUCCAAUAUCGCAAUGUUGAGAAAUCGAGGCUACAUCGAGUUCGUAAACGUUAAGACAAUUCUUCCUGAUGUCCCAUCGUGCAAUUUAUCGAUCGCUGAUGCCCCAAUAGCAAAGUUGGACCUGGAAAACGAUUCCUACAGCGAAGAGGAAGAGGGCUUCAAGGAUGCCAAUGUGAUUGAGAUUGAUCCUAUUACUAUGGAGGAUGUGAUCAACAAGCUGAACGAGCCUGUCGUGAAUAAAUCAUCAGGAAGAUCAGAAAUUCAAGCAACUGAGGAACAAGGUGAAGAGAGGUUUGAGAAGAACACAACGCAGGAGCCAUUGGUGGAAGCUAUUAACAAGGAAUUAUUUCAAUCGAUGGAGGAAGACAGUUUAUUAAUAAUGGAGCAGGCAGAAGACACAACGACCAGCGAAGUAGUUACUAUACUCGCCAGUCCGGUUAAUCCUCAGAUAUCUAUAGUUCCUCUAGAAGUGACGGAAAAGCGCGACGAGCCAGCUAAAGCGGAUUCCAAUAAUCCAGACUACUUAGAAUACGUAAAAAGGCUGCAGUUUCGAAUCGCGGAAUUUAGCAACGCGAAAGAUUCUAUCGAUGUGAGAAAAUCGAAGAGGAAAAAUUCGAAGAGCCUGGCACAAACUGCGGAAAUAAUUACCGAAGAGAUCAAGUGUCAGGAAACAACAGCAAACAAUAGUAGUAUUAAUUCACCGGCGACCUCGAGAAAGCUUGAAGAAAUCACCAGAGAGCGAUCGAAGCAGAAGAAUGUCAUUCAGGACCUCCUGAUGGAUAAGGUCGAGGCUCACAAGCAAAAGUCAGCCGAAAAGAAGGCUCGAAGAGCCGCCAGAGCCUCAUCCUUUACCACAAUGCUGUCGCCAAUGAAACAGGAUCUAUCGUCUAACGUUUCUUCCAUCGGUAACAAGUUUGUGCCUGCUUCUAUAACAUCAACAAACAGUCCACCUGGCACUUCCGACGAGGCAAAUAAAUUACUGGAGUCCUCACGCUCUCAUGAGCAAUGUGAUCGAGUAGAAACCAAAGAACAAAGUCCAAAGAGGACCGAUCAGUUGAACGAAUCGCGAAUGGCAGACAAGAGACCGACUAGUCUGGAAGAUAUCUUCAAGACGCCAAUCGCCCCACCAAGAUAUAAGAGCGAGGAAGCGAGGAAAACAGCUGAGAAGGCCAGGCAAGAUGCCAGAGAACGAGCCAGGAUGAAGAGCGAUGAGGAUCUAGGUUUAAGUCCCGAAGAUAGGAUCAAGGAAUUGAGAAUGAAGAUUACUCGCAGGCAACUUUCGAUGGAUGAUGCGAGAAGUGAUGAUACGUCAGAAGUUGAGAGAGCCAAGUCCUCCUAUUUCAGCCCCACAGAUCAUUCUAAGUUGAAAUUGCAAACCAGUAAAAGUACUGACAAUAUGAAGAAUAUCGCGAAAAGGAUAAAUUUUCAGAAAUUGCCGGCUGCCAGCGCGAAAUCAAUGGACGAAUUGUUGAACACCGCAGGUUUAUCGUGUUCAGAUAAUAGUGCAAUGAUUAAGAGAGAUAAAAAGAAAGUGAAAGAUUCAGAGAGAAGGAAAAGCAUUAUACAAGCAGUAUCAGAUUUUUUCUUCAAGAAGGAAACCACUCCAUCACCUACCCAGAAAGACAAGCUGUCAAUGUUUCGACUCACUUCGAAAUCAAAAGGAAAGUUCGACAAAAUGGUCUCGUCAAAAUCUGAUACAAGACCUAAAAGCAUGUGUGAAGACAUACUUGUACGAAAUUUUGUCACUGAAAAUUCACCACCCGUGCCACCACCACCACUUAAUUACUCUGUCUCUACCAGUCAAGUAUCAGAAAUUGCAGAUAACAGUUUGUCGGAUGACGAUACAAAAACGGCUGCUUUGUCGACAUCGUGUACACAAAAAGUUACUGUAACUGAAGAAUCGUGCAAUAGCGUUCCACGCAAAUCAAAGUCUGCUAAAAAAGUAGCUAGACAAGCCCAAUUAAAGAGAUUACGUAUGGCUCAAGAAAUACAGAGAAAAUUAGAGGAAACUGAAGUGAAACAGAAAGAAUUGGAAAGUCGAGGUGUAAGUGUCGAGAAAGCACUACGUGGUGAAGGAGGUCAUCGUUCUGAAUCGUCCUAAUCCAAAAUUCGCGCAGCAGUCGUGCUUCCUUGAGAAUUUAUGAAACAUUGAAGCUUGAAAAAUAUUGUUCCAAUCAUGAAGAAGCUGAUUUACUUAGAGAAUGGUUUGAUCUGAUGAAGGAACGCACAGAACUGCGUAGAUAUGAAAAAGAGCUUCUAGUACGCGCACAAGAAGUUCAAUUAGAAGAUCGUCAUGAACGAUUGCAACAAG